rnacentral:misc_RNA from 1 species
UUGUAUCUGAAAAUUAUUCGUUAUCCGACAUCCAACUAACAGCAGAAACUGCUUAGUUGUAGAGUAAUACGAUAAAAUUUUUUAAAAAUAGUAUUGGAUGAAUAUAAGUUCGACUGUCGAAAUUUUGAGUAUUACGAGAUAUAUUUGUCGCAAAACGCUCAAAAGUGGGCUUACUACAAGUUUGAGCGCGCAGAGCUGGGCUGGAUUCUCCCUCACGCAUUCCACGAAUCGUUGCGUGCGUGCUGCUAAUCCGAAUCAUCGACACGGAAUAUUUUUCUCUCGAUAAUUGAAAAUAAUCGAGAAGCGAUAUAUACGUAUCAAGUGUAUAUACAUCAAUACGAGAGAAUGCGCGUCAGAUAUUAGUGAGUCAUUCGUUACGAAAUAAAGGUGCUGGUUUCUACGUACGGAAGAAAGAUAAGAGAGGGGAGAUAGUCGAUGAGACAUGUUAUUGCGCGCGUCGCAUCUGGUCACAUCAAGAAGCAUUCUGUGGUGAGACAGAUCGUUUCGUUUCGCUUCCGAAAGUCUCUCUUUCUCACUUCCUCCUUCCUCUUUAUCUCCUUCUCCACUCUUCCUUCUUUCUCUCUCUUGUUUGAUUCGCGUGAUACCAAGCGCGAAGAAUAAGGUAACCAAGUUUGAUUCGAGCGACCCAAGAACGUCAAGAGUUAUGACGGUGCGCGAUUUGCUAGUGUCGAUAGAAAGGAAGAGUAUCAAUGAUAUGAAACGCGAUUGCGGGGAAUAGUGACGUAUUUGAGGCGGUGAAAUCUAUAACGACAAUGCGAUCCAAUCACGGUUUAAUUAUAUCGUUCGCUUGUCGAUGGAAGAUGAAAUCCCAUCCUGAGCAAGAAGCAAGUUGCCUCAAUACGGACGAAUCGCGCAGUUGACGCGCUCGUUGGUGCGAGUCAAAGAGGUUAUCGUAGUUUAAGCGAGCUGGAGUGGACCGGAGCGUGAAUGUGUUGCAAGAGGCGAGCACGUUGCCGUCGUUGUCGUCGUCGUGGUCGUCGUCGCCGUCGCCGCCGUCGUACUAUGAAAACGACAGUGAUGCUCGAUCAGUAGGGCGCGUCACUCGACCUGGGGCGAAGAUUCUCGUGAUGUGUCCGCACGAGGGUACUCGGUCGAGGCAAGAAAUAGUGGAAAGAAAGCAGGACAAAAAGAAGGAAGGAGGUGCCGCCGGUUUGAACACGCCGGCACGCUAGAUUGCGGUGGCCUAAAGCCCUCGCUCUCUUGCUCCUUGGAAAAUGAACUCCAUGUUAUAUACUCUCUACGGGUUCGCGAUAUUUUUCAUGAUAUUCUGGUCGGGUAUGUGGAUGGUUCAUGUGCUGGCAUUAAUUACCGGUCGUUGGAAGCUGCAUCGGAAGAUGAAUCAGGCUCCGAGUUACGAGACACCGCUGCCAGGAGUGUCCGUGAUAAAACCUCUGAUGGGGGUUGACCCAAAUCUAUUCGGUAAUCUCGAAACCUUCUUCACCAUGGAGUAUCCCCGAUACGAGCUCCUGUUUUGUGUCGAGGAUGACUCCGAUCCCGUGCUGAUGCUGGUGCGCAAGCUUGUCGAAAAGUAUCCGGAAGUCGAGGCCACGCUCUUCGUUGGUGGUUGUAAAGUAGGGGUAAAUCCAAAGAUCAACAACAUGCAGCCGGCAUACGAGGCUGCCAAGUACGAACUCGUGUUGAUCAGCGACAGUGGCAUACGCAUGAAGGAGGACACUCUACUAGAUAUGGUCCAUCAUAUGACGGAUAGAGUGGCUUUAGUUCAUCAGAUGCCAUUUACCUGUGACCGCGAAGGUUUCGCCGCCGCGUACGAAAAGAUCUUUUUCGGUACGGUGCAGUCACGAAUGUAUCUAGCUGCAGAUAUGCUCAGGAUAAACUGUCAUACCGGUAUGUCAGCACUCCUGAAAAAAUUCACAUUGGACGAGGUCGGUGGUCUAAAAGCGUUCGGCAUCUAUCUUGCAGAGGAUUUUUUUUACGCGAAAUCGUUGACUGACCGCGGCUGGCGCAUCACCGUCUCCUCGCAGCCGGCGCUACAGAACAGUGGCCACUGCGCGGUCGAUUCCUUCCAAGCGCGACUACGACGAUGGGCUAAAUUAAGGGUAGCAAUGUUGCCUACCACCAUUGUUCUCGAACCGUUGAGUGAGUGCCUCGUUCUGGGUGGGUUCGCUUCCUGGGCGGCCAGCGUCUUGUUCGAGUGGGAUUCUUUAGUAUUUUAUUUGGUACACAUACUUUUAUGGUUUAUGUUCGAUUGGACGUUACUGUGUGUAGUGCAAAACGGUCCGCUGCCUUUUAACAAACUUGAGUUUGUAUGUGGUUGGUUGCUCAGCGAAAUCACAAGACCAUACCUUUUCCUUCAGGCUGUCUUGGAUCCUCUCAUACAGUGGCGUUCACGUGUUUACAAGCUCAAAUGGGGUGGCGUCGCGGAGGAAGUUAAGGCGAAAGUCAAAUAUUAAAAAUUCAUGCGAAUCGAGGGAAAUCUUUUGUCACGUUUCCUGUUAUUCUUGAGAAAUUUUGCAUGAUGUGAAGGGGUACGUCUGCAGAAAAAAAUGCUGGAAUGUUGAGUUUCCAAAAGAAGCAUGGAUUUUUUUCUUUUUUUUAUCCUGCAACUUGAAAUCACUCCAAUUUAAAAAUCACGUCAUACCAAUUUGUGGGUACUUGCUAGUAAAUGACUAGAGUUUCCGAUUUUUAAAUAUAAAUUUUAUUGAAGAAAAAUGAUAAAAAACAUGUUGAUGUAAUGUAA